UACGGAGGGUGCAAGCGUUAAUCGGAAUUACUGGGCGUAAAGCGUGCGCAGGCGGUAAUGUAAGACAGAUGUGAAAUCCCCGGGCUCAACCUGGGAACUGCAUUUGUGACUGCAUUGCUGGAGUGCGGCAGAGGGGGAUGGAAUUCCGCGUGUAGCAGUGAAAUGCGUAGAUAUGCGGAGGAACACCGAUGGCGAAGGCAAUCCCCUGGGCCUGCACUGACGCUCAUGCACGAAAGCGUGGGGAGCAAACAGG
rnacentral:rRNA from 1 species